rnacentral:rRNA from 1 species
GACGAACGCUGGCGGCGUGCCUAAUACAUGCCAGUCGAACGCUGAAGGAGGAGCUUGCUUCUCUGGAUGAGUUGCGAACGGGUGAGUAACGCGUAGGUAACCUGCCUGGUAGCGGGGGAUAACUAUUGGAAACGAUAGCUAAUACCGCAUAAUAGCAGUUGUUGCAUGACAACUGUUUGAAAGGUGCAAUUGCACCACUACCAGAUGGACCUGCGUUGUAUUAGCUAGUUGGUGGGGUAACGGCUCACCAAGGCGACGAUACAUAGCCGACCUGAGAGGGUGAUCGGCCACACUGGGACUGAGACACGGCCCAGACUCCUACGGGAGGCAGCAGUAGGGAAUCUUCGGCAAUGGACGGAAGUCUGACCGAGCAACGCCGCGUGAGUGAAGAAGGUUUUCGGAUCGUAAAGCUCUGUUGUAAGAGAAGAACGAGUGUGAGAGUGGAAAGUUCACACUGUGACGGUAUCUUACCAGAAAGGGACGGCUAACUACGUG